rnacentral:lncRNA from 1 species
UGUUGUUGACCUCGACGGUGGCUUACCUGAUUCGCCUGUGGCUUGCUCUGUGCCAGGGAUGCCCCGGAUGGCUUGCUUCUUGGAUAGGCUU